UGUGUCCUGAUACCGUGACCUUAUCUGCCUUGCCAAAAUCAUCUCAGUCCCACAUGCUUUCAAUUCUCCUCACCACUGAAUCUUUUGCAGUUGCACAGCUGGUUAAAGUUUUGUAUCCUGAAAACACAGUUUAUACAGAUAUAGGUGAGGAGCACACAACCAAGAAACAUACUUAAGGGUUCUGAAGAACGUUUGCAAAUGGGGACUUCAGGGUACCAGGAUUGACACCAUAGGGUUAUAACUUAGAACCUGAGCUGGAGAUCACUUAGAUCACAGGAUCCUUCCUCUCAAAAGAGAAGUGAAGGCAUGGACCUGCUGCUUGAAAUGGACACACCUGAGGAACUGGAAAAAAGCAUCUCUCAGAAGAGGCAGCCUGACAGGGACCUUGUUACAUGGCAUCAACAAACCAUGUGCAGCAUGUACAGAGAGAAACAAGAAACAUAAUGAGGUCAUAUUCACUGCAUAUGCUGAUGUAUUAAAAAGCUUUUAUUGCACCUCCA